rnacentral:rRNA from 1 species
GUGUCAGCCGCCGCGGUAAGACAGAGGAGCCAAGCGUUGUCCGGAUUGACUGGGCGUAAAGCGCACGCAGGCGGAUGCGCGCGUGGGGUGUGAAAUCUGGCCGCUUAACGGCCAGGCGCCAUCCCAUACGGCACAUCUCGAGCCUUGCAGAGGGCGGUGGAAUUGCCGGUGUAGUGGUGAAAUGCGUAGAGAUCGGCAGGAACACCCAGGGGGAAACCAGCCGCCUGGGCAAGCGCUGACGCUGAGGUGCGAGAGCGUGGGGAGCGAACCGGAUUAGAUACCCCUGUAGUCC